GUCAGAUUGAUGGUGAAAUAAUUACCCUAUGCGCUUUAUUCCACUGAUUCUAAUAUGAUGGAAAGCCAUUUUACAAUAGCUUUUGUGGUUUUCAAUCUGAAAUAUCU